rnacentral:tRNA from 1 species
GGCCCUGUGACGGGAACUGGCAGACCUGCCGAGCUCAAACCUCGGCGUCCCCUCGGGGAGUAGGGGUUCGAAGCCCCUCGGGGCCACCC